rnacentral:rRNA from 1 species
UGCCAGCCGCCGCGGUAAUACGGAGGGGGCUAGCGUUGUUCAGAAUUACUGGGCGUAAAGCGCGCGUAGGCGGCUUGAUAAGUUAGGCGUGAAAGCCCGGAGCUCAACUUCGGAAUUGCGCUUAAAACUAUCAGGCUAGAGUCCGAGAGAGGUGAGUGGAAUUCCCAGUGUAGAGGUGAAAUUCGUAGAUAUUGGGAAGAACACCAGUGGCGAAGACGGCUCACUGGAUCGGUACUGACGCUGAGGUGCGAAAGCGUGGGGAGCAAACAGGAUUAGAUA